GCACUGAGGGUGGCACUUGGCGGGAUGAGCACUGGGUGUUAUGCUAUAUAUUGCCAAAUUGAACUCCAAUAAAAAGAAAUUUUAAAAAAAGGAAUCAUCCUUCAACUGAAAAAAAAAAAUAGUCCACAAGGUAAUCUAGUUACAGUUUCCAAAAAUUAGAGUGUCCAUCUUUGCAGGGCUAUGAUGCAGCCCAGCACAGGUAUUUAGCACAAGUAUUAGCACAAACAGGCAUGCAACAAAGUUCAGUCCCUGUCUCCUCUUCCCAUCAGAAUCAGAGGCAAGAUGGAUCAAUUGCUCAUUCCCCCAAUUUACCAUCACCUUGAACACUCUUCUCAGAGGUCCAAAAAGAAAUGCCAAAGGGAUCUUCUCAGAGUAAAAUGGGAAAAACCUUAAAAACUCCUACUUGUUUUUAUACUGGUCAACAUUGCUGUGGAAGACAUUUUAUGGUACCAUCUCAUACUUCGCUGCUACCCAAGUGUGAACACUACAUCUGGUUUGAAAAUGAGAAUCGGUGAACCUCUCUAGACUCCCAAGCAAGAUUAAAAAACUGAAGCAGGCUCUUUAAUGUUUUUGUCCAAAAACUUUGAACUAGUAAACGGGAGACCUGGGACAACAGUAAAGACCACAUCAUAGGAACAUCCUUCUCAGGAUGCCAGUUCCUACUGUCUACCAUGAAGCACUUCUCUCACCACCAACUUUACUGCCCCUGGGCACUGGGCUCUUGGCUACCACGUUGCACCUCUUAUUCCAGAUUCAGGUCUCGGGUGCUUACCACAUUUAUACAAAAGGAAACAGAAAUUCAACGUCUUGGAAAUCUCAAAUUAUCUUCAAAAUGUCAUCAGAUACAAAAUGUCCGGUGAUGACCUUAAGACAUCAAGUAUUUCUGCUGAGCAGCCAGUAUGUUCAUGGACUUUGGUGCUUCUUGUUGGCCUAGUUUGGCUAUUUGGGACCACGCUCAAAGACGUCGAAACCUGAAUUUUGCUACAAAAAGAAGAUUAAUAAUACACGCUGGACAGUCCCAUCACACGCACAUUCAUGAAACAUCUAGGCAUAAUUCAUGAAAAGCUUCGAUAAAGUUAAACUACAAUUUCUAUGGAGAAACUUUUCAGAAUUCCUUGAAUCAGAAAGUUCCCCAACUCUCUCCACAGCAAACCAGAAUAAAGCUGGUACAUCUUCAGGUCUGGGCA
rnacentral:lncRNA from 1 species